GUCAUUAGGUUUUAUUGAUGAGUGCCCCCAUCUUUGGGUUGAGGUCGGAAACUUUUCAGACCACCCUUGGCUAAAUUUUUGGAGGUUAUUUAAAAUGUUUUUGUGUGAACUUUUAGUUUUGUCCAAAUAUUCUUUAUUGAUACUAAUGGUUUCUUUACGUAUGGUACUUGAAGUUUUGUUCAUUUUACCCUAAAAACAAUUUAACAAUAUUUAAUAUAACAAACAGAAUAUUUAAAUAGAAAGCAUGCGCAUAACGUUCUCUCAUAUUUACCUAACCUAUAAAAGUCCUAUUUUUUAAUGUUCGAAGCGAAGAAAAUUUGAUAUUAUAUUUGUUAAAAAUCUCAAGACAUAAUCUCUAUAUAAGUUGGGUGUUUUGUGAUUAACAGUUGGACCAGUUUUUAUUGUUAGUGUUGAGGUUCUCUUUAAGACUAUAAUGUCAAAUGAAACUACUUUAACUCUCGAAGAAAAACAUCAAAUCGUUGUCUGGAACCACAAUGGAUUUUCAGAUAAUGAGAUCCAAAAUUUAUUUCCUAAAAUGUUUGGAAAUAGACCUGUUCCAUCAUCAACUACUAUCCAGACAAUUAUGGAAAAUUUACGCACACUCGGAUGUUUAUUCCCUGAAAACCACAAAAUGGAAUCAAAGGUGAAACGGUUAAAACAGAAACGUAAACGACGGAAUAAAAAGAUCUGUGAGGGUGUAGAUCAAAGCCCAUCACAUUCAAGUAGGGAGACUGCACAUGAAGUAGAAACGUCUCAGGAUGAAUCCAAGGGGCUUCUAUUACCUUCAACAUGUCCAGAAGAUGAAGGAGAAAAAUGCGAAUUACUAAAUAUCAUAAAAUCUGAACCGGAAGAUAUUUAAAAAAAAAUUAGGAUGAAAGGAUUCAGAGAAUAUCCUAAAACUACAGAUUUGUCAUGAUUGAAGAAGUGUGGUACUUGGGGAGUACCCUGUGAGUGGGAGAGACAAGCUACUCAAUGAUUAACUUUGAACUUGAUCGUAAGAUUGCAUUCAACUAAUUAGUACCUGUAUUCAAAUAUUACAAAAGCGUGAUAAAAUAAUUUUUUGCGAAUGAUGGUUGUUGAUAUUUAUUAUACUCAAUUAUUACAUAGAUUUUGUAAUAUAGUUAUAAGUAUAUUUUAAAAUAAAUAAUUAUGUAAGAAGUACGUUUUUGAUGCUUCCU